CAGCCGCCGCGGGAAUACGUAGGUCCCGAGCGUUGUCCGGAUUUAUUGGGCGUAAAGCGAGCGCAGGCGGUUAGAUAAGUCUGAAGUUAAAGGCUGUGGCUUAACCAUAGUACGCUUUGGAAACUGUUUAACUUGAGUGCAAGAGGGGAGAGUGGAAUUCCAUGUGUAGCGGUGAAGUGCGUAGAUAUUAGGAAGAACACCAAUGGCGAAGGCAGCUUCUUGGUCCAUUCCUGACGUUCAUACACGAAAGCGUGGGGAGCAAACAGGAUUAGAGACCCCUGUAGUCCCUGUCUCUUAUACA
rnacentral:rRNA from 1 species